AUUGAACGCUGGCGGCAGGCUUAACACAUGCAAGUCGAACGCGUGGCGGACGGGUGAGUAAUGCAUGGGCAUCUAGCUUAUGGAGGGGGAUAACUACGGGAAACUGUAGCUAAUACCGCGUACCAUAGGAUGAGCCCAAGUGGGAUUAGGUAGUUGGUGAGGUAAAGGCUCACCAAGCCGACGAUCUCUAGCUGGUCUGAGAGGAUGACCAGCCACACUGGGACUGAGACACGGCCCAGACUCCGACGGGAGGCAGCAGUGGGGAAUAUUGCGCAAUGGGGGCAACCUGACGCAGCAAUGCCGCGUGAAUGAAGAAGGCCUUCGGGUUGUAAAGUUCUUUCGGUAGCGAGGCGUUAACUACAGAAGAAGCACCGGCUAACUCCGUGCCAGCAGCCGCGGUAAUUC
rnacentral:rRNA from 1 species